rnacentral:tRNA from 1 species
GCCUGGAUGGCUCAGUCGGUUAAGCGUCCAACUUCAGCUCAGGUCAUGAUCUCACGGUUCAUGGGUUCAAGCCCCAUUUCAGGCU